AAUAUUUGACAAUGGGGGCAACCCUGAUCCAUCCAUGCCUCGUGUGUGAAGAAGGUCUUCGGAUUGUAAAGCACUUUAAGUUGGGAGGAAGGGCUUUAGGUUAAUACCCUGAAGUUUUGACGUUACCAACAGAAUAAGCACCGGCUAACUCUGUGCCAGCAGCCGCGGUAAUACAGAGGGUGCAAGCGUUAAUCGAAAUUACUUGGGGUAAAGCGCGCGUAGGUGGUUGAGUAAGAUGGGUGUGAAAUACCCGGGCUUAACCUGGGAACUGCUUUCAUAACUGCUGAGCUAGGGUACGGUAGAGGGUAGUGGAAUUUCCUGUGUAGCGGUGAAAUGAGUAGAUAUAGGAAGGAACACCAGUGGCGAAGGCGACUACCUGGACUGAUACUGACACUGAGGUGCGAAAGCGUGGGGAGCAAAC
rnacentral:rRNA from 1 species